AAAAAGUUGGUUUGAUUUCUAACAGCUUCGAAGCCUUUUGACAGGCAGGUGUUCUUUUAGCCUUAUACAUCACAUAACGUGUUACUUUGAUCAUUUGUAAGUGUGGCUUGCAUAGUUGUUACGAUGUUCUUGCAAAUGCAUAGUUUCAGGUCACAGGUUGAGGCAAUUGUUUAGCUCAAGAAGAAGGAUAAGAUUAUGUCAAGGCUCUACAGACAUCGUGUCGGAUAUCAGUCCCAGGGGUGCCAGUUAGAGAAACACAACCACCUUCAGACAAGAAGGUGGUUCCCCAAGCGGAUCCUCCGAGUGCUGAAGACGUAAACCACUUGUAUCAACUCAUCUUCCAAAGCACCAAGGUUGUGGUAUUGACUGGAGCUGAAAUUAGCACUGGAUGUGGAAUUCCUGAUUAUGGAAGGUUCUAUCUCUUGUUCGCUUUGUUUUCAAUCGGACCCAAAAUGGUUUUGAACCUUUUUGAUCUUGCAAUACCAGUAUUUGAAGAAAUCUAGCGUCAGGCUACUUUGCCUUAGGUUACAGCCUUCCAUUUUUUAUAUUUAUAACAGAUUAAUUUAGUUUUUUUUUUUUUUAAAAAUAGCAAGUAAAGAGUUGUAGAUCAAUAAGUAUUUAUUCUUAAGCUGUUCUUCCUUUGCGCAAA